CCGCGUCAGUUAGCUGAGACAAGUAUGGCCGUCGUGCUGGAUCGGGUGCGUUUGCUGAGCUGUUUCUCGAGGAUAUUUACUUCUGUACCACACGUCGGAUAAUUUAACUCGUGCCACCGAGUGUAUACAAGAUCACCAUUAUAUCUACAGAUACCACGAUUAUCCAUCACGUCCAUGGCAAGCAGCAAGCAGUAGAACGCGCCUGAGAUGGUAGACGACAAUUUCCUGCGUCCUGCGCUUUAUCAAUCAACUUAUAUAUAAAUGAUGUGUUUUAUUAGUGUUAAAAUGUUGUACUGUUUUAAAUCUUUCAAAUAAAAGCAUUACUUCCAUUCCAUUG